UGGGUGAGGUAGAGGAAC
rnacentral:miRNA from 1 species